CUCGACCCAUGUCCGUGCCUCAGGGACUUUAAAUCGAGCUCAAGUUUCAAUGAGCAUGGGAAAAAUAUAUCUACAAAAAUCCAAAAAGAUGUAUUCUCGAUAGUCAGUACCAAUUGAAUUACAUAACAUACAACUAACUAGUUAACACUAUGCUUAUGUCUGGUGGCAAAAUUGAUGAAUGCGUAUAUCCAAUCGUCCACGCAAAUUGGAUGUGAUCUGUUAACUCCAGUUCCAUAUAGGCCAUUUAAUCCCAGUUCCGAGAGCCAAAGAGCAAAAAGAGAGAAAGAAAAAGAAAAACAAGAUGAGAGGAUUGAUUCCAAAUUUCUAGGGAAAAGAGCCCAUCCGCAGGUUAAUAAGAAAACAAACUCUUCUUCUUCUUGCCCAUGGCUGUGAUAGAUAUCCUUCCAAAUACAAAAAAUGAAAUGUAAAAUCAAGAGGCACUCGCAUGCCAGUUUCUUCUCUUGUCUUUCCUGUUGAAUAUUUCCUUUUUCCCAAGUCGAAAUUGUACAUCGUUUCUCCCCGCUUUAUAGUGAUAUGAAAAAAAAAAAAAAAGAAAGCCAAAAGGUUGGCCACCCCACCAAAAAAUAGACGGCUUUGUUGCGUCAAAGGGAUAUCUGAAAAAGUAGAAAAUGGGCAGAAAAGUUUUGUACACGUUAAAGAAGAAGUCCAGCAAACAACAUAUAGGUGAAUGCGGAUAAAAUUUGAAGAUAACAGAAUAUCAUGGUCGUCGAGUCGUAGCACAUAAAUCAGAGGGUGUUUGGAAGCGAGCAUAGCUGAAACCCCUUUCAAGUCAAAAAUAUCAGCCCUGAGAAGUGACCGUCUUAGAUUUGGAGCUGUGAGUCCACGAAAGGAAAUCGAAUUUCUCCUUGGGGGUUUCACGAGCCAAAGCUGAGUUGGUUUCUCGGGCGCUGCUGCGCUGGAGAGAUUGCUCUCUAGGUUCCAAGGCCAGGGAACGUCGAUAGUAAUUCUGAAAACUUUUCUCUCCUGCAGAACGGACGCGAACGAGCUGAUCCUGUAUCCAGGUCUGUAGCUCGGGGACCUCAGCGAGUCGGUAUGGUAUCUGGAAACGCUGGAGUUCACUAAUGAUCUUCGCUGUUUUCAUAUGCUUAUCAAAAUUGAUGACUAAUUUGCUUCCAUCACCAGUCGGUAGAGCUCGUGUGUCUUGAUUUCCGUGAUCCACGAAGGUCAGGUCGGUUAAGUAGGUUCCGACAAACGGUAGGCAUGGAGGAACGUGGCCCUGUAAUCGUUGUCGAAGAACAGCAUAAUUUCUAGAAACAUCCACAAUUUCCCUCAAUUGUUCCAGCAAAAUCUUCGUCUUGUGUGACACUAGUUCCCAAGUGCGUCUUAACCGGGAAAUAGUAGAGGAAUUAAGGGAACAGAUAAUCGCCAUUAGAGAGUCAUAAUUAUUCAAUUCCAAGCAUUUGGAAGCGACCUUGACCCAUUGCUUUACGACAACAGCUCUCUUUUUGGGCUCCUCUUGUUGUAAAAUACAAUCAGCCACAAGAUUAGCCAGGUCUGUUGACAAGGUCGACAUAGCUCGGACGUUGACUGCAAGAGAUCCAGAUUUUUUCAUCCACUCGGUGCCUAGCAGCUCCUCUGGUAGAAUAGAGCAAAAUAUUCUAGAUUCCUUGAGCGUGAACUGCCGUGCCAGUUCCAGGGCAUCAAAGUCGAGUAUGGUGAUAGGCUGACCUCCACCCCUCCAUUGUUUCAAUAGGUUCAGUUGGCUCUUAGAUAUGAUUGGUGUUGGAAGAGGAACGUCAGGGCUAACGUACUGGCCAACAGCCGUAUUAGUUUUGCCCAUCGAAGACACAAGUCGCGGAACCACUGGGCCGUGCAACGUGGAUACUUUCUCCGCAAGGUCCUCCAGGCGUGUCGCUGCUGAGGAUAAGGUGCGUGUUAAUGUUGUCCGAGCAAACUUCAGGAUUGAUGGCAGAGCGACGUCAUCACAGUCAUGGCGCCAAUGCGAUUCUAACCAGCCUUUAAAGAUAUUGUAAACUCGAAGACGGACGGGUCCAGCGGCUUCGGUAUUGUCCCCAAUAUAAUCAUAGCGGUCCAUCAGCGCCUCAGCAAAGUCCGUAGGAGUAGCAAAGUGUCGGA
rnacentral:sRNA from 1 species